rnacentral:rRNA from 1 species
UGGGGAAUAUUGGACAAUGGGCGCAAGCCUGAUCCAGCCAUGCCGCGUGGAUGAAGAAGGCCCUAGGGUUGUAAAGUCCUUUCGUUGGUGAAGAUAAUGACGGUAACCAAAGAAGAAGCCCCGGCUAAUUUCGUGCCAGCAGCCGCGGUAAUACGAAAGGGGCUAGCGUUGUUCGGAUUUACUGGGCGUAAAGGGCGCGUAGGCGGACGGUCAAGUCAGAGGUGAAAGGCCCGGGCUCAACCUGGGACGUGCCUUUGAAACUGAUUGUCUUGAGUGCGGAAGAGGGUGACGGAAUUCCCAGUGUAGAGGUGAAAUUCGUAGAUAUUGGGAAGAACACCGGUGGCGAAGGCGGUCACCUGGUCCGCAACUGACGCUGAGGCGCGAAAGCGUGGGGAGCAAACAGGAUUAGAUACCCCCGUAGUCC